AGCAGGGCUCUCUGCAGGACGGGCAGCACCAUGGCUCUCCCAGGGACCAGUCGCCCCUUACCCACCUCUCCAGCAGUGACUGGAUUCUGGAGUCCAUCUAGUGCCUCUGGAGGGGUCUGUCAACACAGACUGGCAGCCUCUGUUUCUCUUCUUGCAAGAAAGUCCUUCAGCCUCUUCAUGGUGGACAGUCUGCGGGCACAUGGGGACAUGCACCACUUGUUUAACUUGUGGGUGUGGAGUUCACUGACAUAGGGGACGGCCUGCUUAGUUGGCUGCACGGUCUUACAGGUGACCCAGAGGCAGGUUAGAAUAUCCUAGAUGCCAUUAGUAGCACCUGCUGGAAGCUCUGACUGAAGGGUUCCGUGUGGAAAGCCUUCACGGGCAUCGGGUGAGGCUGCGCUCAGCAGGCUUCUUUGUAGGUGACAGCUGUGUUGUGCCCUCUUUGGCGUGUGGGAUAUGAAGAGCAGCAUGCCCGGAACCCGCAGGGCAGUCUGCAUCUCUUCUUGCCACCGCUUAGCCGUUAGCCCCUUUGCUCAUUUAUUUGAAAGCUGCAUCAAUGAUUUUCCAGGAACUCCUGAGAGCUUUCUAGAAGGAGGAAAUAUUCUGCCACACUGGUCAACUGCUUUUCUGCAACUACUAAAACUGACAUCGGGUAUAGGUAGAGAGAAAAAAAACCAAACAUGAAUAUACAUUCAAUUCUAGGGUUGGUGGGUGGCGGGGUGAGGAAACAAAUCCUGGGACAACCUAGUAUUUGUAUCACCCGCCAUGAGAUGGUGGCUUGUGGUUACAGACUCUGAUUGUAAACUUCAGUGCUGGAAAACAUUGUUUCCAAGCAGUACUUACCCGAAGCCUUAAUAUUAUUUAUUAAAACACUUUAUGAAAGUUUC
rnacentral:lncRNA from 1 species